UACGGGGGGGGGCAAGCGUUGUUCGGAAUUACUGGGCGUAAAGGGCUCGUAGGCGGCCGACUAAGUCGGAUGUGAAAUCCCCCAGGCUUAACCUGGGAACUGCAUCCGAUACCGGAUGGCUUGAAUCCGGGAGAGGGAUGCAGAAUUCCUGGUGUAGCGGUGAAAUGCGCAGAUAUCAGGAGGAACACCUAUGGCGAAGGCAGCUCGCUGGGACGGUACUGACGCUGAGGCGCGAAAGCGUGGGGAGCGAACAGG
rnacentral:rRNA from 1 species